CACCUCGGUGUUAGAGAUGUGGUGGGUGUGCACGACCAGCUGGUAGAAGUCUUCAAACUUCCCAGGCUUAUGACGGUCCAAGGAGAACCUUCGGAAUUCGGCCCCAAACUACAAGGCAAGAGAGGAGAGUCACAAUCCUAGUCUAAUGAUGAGAAGCACAACAAAGAACAGAUCGCCAUCAAGGGACGGCCUGUAAAACACUGACCAGUAGUCUCAAAAACAAAGAGGUCAUCAAAACACGAGGAGAGUGAGGAGUAACCACAAUGAAAAGGGAUGCAGGAGACAUCACAGCUAAGCAGAAUGAGUUCUCCUGCGUCUUGGAACAUUAGGUUAGAAAGAACACUCAGGAAAAACUAAAUCCAAAUAAAGUAUAGCCUCAGCUAAUUAUGGUC